rnacentral:rRNA from 1 species
AGCGAACGCUGGCGGCAGGCCUAAUACAUGCAAGUCGAGCGCACCUUCGGGUGAGCGGCGGACGGGUGAGUAACGCGUGGGAACGUGCCCUUUGGUACGGGAUAACUGAGGGAAACUUCAGCUAAUACCGUAUGUGCCCUACGGGGGAAGGAUUUAUCGCCAUUGGAGCGGCCCGCGUUGGAUUAGGUAGUUGGUGAGGUAAAGGCUCACCAAGCCUACGAUCCAUAGCUGGUCUGAGAGGAUGAUCAGCCACACUGGGACUGAGACACGGCCCAGACUCCUACGGGAGGCAGCAGUAGGGAAUCUUGCGCAAUGGGCGAAAGCCUGACGCAGCCAUGCCGCGUGAAUGAUGAAGGUCUUAGGAUUGUAAAAUUCUUUCACCGGGGAAGAUAAUGACGGUACCCGGAGAAGAAGCCCCGGCUAACUUCGUGCCAGCCGCCGCGGUAAGAC